rnacentral:rRNA from 1 species
GUGUCAGCAGCCGCGGUAAUACGAAGGGGGCUAGCGUUGUUCGGAUUUACUGGGCGUAAAGCGCACGUAGGCGGAUUGGUCAGUUAGAGGUGAAAUCCCAGAGCUCAACUCUGGAACUGCCUUUAAUACUGCCAGUCUCGAGUCCGGAAGAGGUGAGUGGAACUCCUAGUGUAGAGGUGGAAUUCGUAGAUAUUAGGAAGAACGCCAGUGGCGAAGGCGGCUCACUGGUCCGGUACUGACGCUGAGGUGCGAAAGCGUGGGGAGCAAACAGGAUUAGAAACCCUCGUAGUCC